rnacentral:lncRNA from 1 species
CGAAGAUGAGGUUGCUUUAACGUGUGGUCGUCACAUUUCUCCGGACCAUCCCCACCGUACCAGAAUCCAGCUUCUCACUUAAACCUUCGAAUAGAUAUUUUUAUUUUAUUUUAUUUUAUUUUUAUUUUUUAAAACAACAUCGAACAUUUUCCCACAAUAUCUGGAACUGCAAACUGCAGAAGCACUCGCAUUACAUGAACUCGCGUUCUUUUAAUCUCAAGCUCUCGCGAAGAUGACA